rnacentral:rRNA from 1 species
CAGCCGCCGCGGGAAAACAGAGGGUGCAAGCGUUAAUCGGAAUUACUGGGCGUAAAGCGCGCGUAGGUGGUUUGUUAAGUUGGAUGUGAAAUCCCCGGGCUCAACCUGGGAACUGCAUCCAAAACUGGCAAGCUAGAGUAUGGUAGAGGGUGGUGGAAUUUCCUGUGUAGCGGUGAAAUGCGUAGAUAUAGGAAGGAACACCAGUGGCGAAGGCGACCACCUGGACUGAUACUGACACUGAGGUGCGAAAGCGUGGGGAGCAAACAGGAUUAGAUACCCGGGUAGUCCCUGUCUCUUAUAC